GUGCCAGCCGCCGCGGUAAUACGGAGGGUGCAAGCGUUGUCCGGAAUCAUUGGGUGUAAAGGGUGCGUAGGCGGAAGCCUAAGUCGGGGGUGAAAUCCUGCCGCUCAACGGCAGAAUGGCCUUCGAUACUGGGUUUCUUGAGUCCGGAAGAGGUUGGUGGAAUUCGUGGUGUAGCGGUGAAAUGCAUAGAUAUCACGAAGAACACCGGUGGCGAAGGCGGCCAACUGGUCCGGUACUGACGCUGAGGCACGAGAGCGUGGGGAGCGAACAGGAUUAGAUACCCUAGUAGUCC
rnacentral:rRNA from 1 species